UACGUAGGGUGCAAGCGUUGUCCGGAAUUAUUGGGCGUAAAGAGCUCGUAGGCGGUCUGUCGCGUCGGCUGUGAAAUCCCGAGGCUCAACCUUGGGCUUGCAGUGGGUACGGGCAGACUAGAGUGCGGGUAGGGGUGACUGGAAUUCCUGGUGAUAGCGGUGAAAUGCGGACAGACUAUCAGGAGGAACACCGAGUUGCGAAGGCAGCUCGCUGGAACGUAACUG
rnacentral:rRNA from 1 species